AGAAUCAACGCUGGCGGCGUGCCUAACACAUGCAAGUCGCACGAGAAAGGGGAGCAAUCCCUGAGUACAGUGGCGCACGGGUGAGUAACACGUGAAUAAUCUACCUCCGAGUGGGGAAUAACUGAGAGAAAUCUUAGCUAAUACCGCAUAACACUUACGAGUCAAAGCAGCAAUGCGCUUGGAGAGGAGUUCGCGGCCGAUUAGUUAGUUGGCGGGGUAAUGGCCCACCAAGGCAGUGAUCUGUA
rnacentral:rRNA from 1 species